rnacentral:rRNA from 1 species
CCUACGGGGGGCUGCAGUGGGGAAUAUUGGACAAUGGGGGGAACCCUGAUCCAGCCAUGCCGCGUGUGUGAAGAAGGCCCUCGGGUUGUAAAGCACUUUCAGUGAGGAAGAACGCCUGGUGGUUAAUACCCAUCAGGAAAGACAUCACUCACAGAAGAAGCACCGGCUAACUCCGUGCCAGCAGCCGCGGUAAUACGGAGGGUGCGAGCGUUAAUCGGAAUUACUGGGCGUAAAGCCCGCGUAGGUGGCUUGAUAAGCCGGUUGUGAAAGCCCCGGGCUCAACCUGGGAACGGCAUCCGGAACUGUCAAGCUAGAGUGCAGGAGAGGAAGGUAGAAUUCCCGGUGUAGCGGUGAAAUGCGUAGAGAUCGGGAGGAAUACCAGUGGCGAAGGCGGCCUUCUGGACUGACACUGACACUGAGGUGCGAAAGCGUGGGUAGCAAACAGGAUUAGAUACCCCUGUAGUC